rnacentral:rRNA from 1 species
GACGAACGCUGGCGGCGUGCCUAAUACAUGCAAGUAGAACGCAGUUGCGAACGGGUGAGUAACGCGUAGGUAACUGCCUCAUAGCGGGGGAUAACUAUUGGAACCGCUAGCUAAUACCGCAUACUGUGCGAUUGACAUGCGUUGUAUUAGCUAGUUGGUGAGGUAAAUGCUCAGCAAGGCGACGAUACAUAGCCGACCUGAGAGGGUGAUCGGCCACACUGGGACGUAGACACGGCCCAGACUCCGACGGGAGGCAGCAGUAGGGAAUCUUCGGCAAUGGACGGAAGUCUGACCGAGCAACGCCGCGUGAGUGAAGAAGGUUUUCGGAUCGUAAAACUCUGUUGUUAGAGAAGCGGUAUCUAACCAGAAAGCCACGGCUAACUACGUGCCAGCAGCCGCGGUAAUUC